GCAGAACGCGAAGAACCUUACCAAGGCUUGACAUAUACGAGAACGCUGCAGAAAUGUAGAACUCUUUGGACACUCGUAAACAGGUGGUGCAUGGUUGUCGUCAGCUCGUGUCGUGAGAUGUUGGGUUAAGUCCCGCAACGAGCGCAACCCUCGUUCUAUGUUGCCAGCACGUAAUGGUGGGAACUCAUGGGAUACUGCCGGGGUCAACUCGGAGGAAGGUGGGGAUGACGUCAAAUCAUCAUGCCCCUUAUGUCUUGGGCUUCACGCAAUGCUACAAUGGCCGGUACAAAGGGCUGCAAUACCGUAAGGUGGAGCGAAUCCCAAAAAGCCGGUCCCAGUUCGGAUUGAGGUCUGCAACUCGACCUCAUGAAGUCGGAGUCGCUAGUAAUCGCAGAUCAGCAACGCUGCGGUGAAUACGUUCCCGGGUCUUACGGUUACACACCGAGUCGUGGGAGGCAAGGGCACACAGGGGGGGGGUAUA
rnacentral:rRNA from 1 species